rnacentral:rRNA from 1 species
UACGGAGGGUGCAAGCGUUAUCCGGAUUCACUGGGGUUAAAGGGUGCGUAGGCGGCUUAUUAAGUCAGGGGUGAAAGACGGUGGCUCAACCAUCGCAGUGCCCUUGAUACUGAUGAGCUUGAAUACACUAGAGGUAGGCGGAAUGUGACAAGUAGCGGUGAAAUGCAUAGAUAUGUCACAGAACACCGAUUGCGAAGGCAGCUUACUAUGGUGUGAUUGACGCUGAGGCACGAAAGCGUGGGGAUCAAACAGG